CCUACGGGUGGCAGCAGUGAGGAAUAUUGGUCAAUGGCCGGAAGGCUGAACCAGCCAAGUCGCGUGAGGGAAGAAGGCGCAAAGCGUCGCAGACCUCUUUUGCCGGGGGGCAAAAGACCGGACUCGUCCGGUCCUGAGGGUACCCGGAGAAAAAGCAUCGGCUAACUCCGUGCCAGCAGCCGCGGUAAUACGGAGGAUGCGAGCGUUAUCCGGAUUCAUUGGGUUUAAAGGGUGCGCAGGCGGGCGUUUAAGCCGGAGGUGAAAUCGCGGGGCUCAACCCCGCCGAGCCGUCGGAACUGGGGGCCUUGAGAGCGGGGGAGGCAUGCGGGAGGCGCGGUGUAGCGGUGAAAU
rnacentral:rRNA from 1 species